rnacentral:rRNA from 1 species
GACGAACGCUGGCGGCGUGCUUAACACAUGCAAGUCGAACGAUGAACCCGGAGCUUGCUCCGGUGGAUUAGUGGCGAACGGGUGAGUAACACGUGAGUAACCUGCCCUUGACUCUGGGAUAACUGCGGGAAACUGUAGCUAAUACCGGAUACGACCCUCGGCGGCAUCGCCAGGGGGUGGAAAGAAUUUCGGUCAAGGAUGGACUCGCGGCCUAUCAGCUAGUUGGUGAGGUAACGGCACACCAAGGCGACGAGGGGUAGCCGGCCUGAGAGGGUGACCGGCCACACUGGGACUGAGACACGGCCCAGACUCCUACGGGAGGCAGCAGUGGGGAAUAUUGCGCAAUGGGCGCAAGCCUGAUGCAGCGACGCCGCGUGAGGGAUGACGGCCUUCGGGUUGUAAACCUCUUUCAGCACAGACGAAGCGCAAGUGACGGUAUGUGCAGAAGAAGGACCGGCCAACUACGUGCCAGCCGCCGCCGUAA